AGAUCAUUUUUGGGACAAUUCCUUAUUAACCCUUUAUAUCGCUCUCAUGCCUCAUAAAAACACUCCUCUACUUGUUGCUCAAAAUUGGAUAUGGCUUUCUUAAGUUU